CGCGGGAUGGAGCAGUUGGUAGCUCGUCGGGCUCAUAACCCGAAGGUCGAAGGUUCAAGUCCUUCUCCCGCUA
rnacentral:tRNA from 1 species